rnacentral:rRNA from 1 species
UACGUAGGUGGCUAGCGUUGUCCGGAUUUACUGGGCGUAAAGAGCGCGCAGGCGGUCGGAUCAGUCGAAUGUGAAAGCCCCCGGCUUAACUGGGGAGGGUCAUUCGAUACUGUUCGACUCGAAGGCAGGAGAGGGAAGUGGAAUUCCGGGUGUAGUGGUGAAAUGCGUAGAUAUCCGGAGGAACACCAGUGGCGAAGGCGACUUCCUGGCCUGUUCUUGACGCUGAGGCGCGAAAGCUGGGGGAGCAAACGGG